ensembl:lncRNA novel transcript
GCCUGCGUCAUGGAGAGGAAUGCAGGUGGUACGCCCCGACACUCACUACACUGUCAAGCACAAGAGGGCAUUUCUAGCAACUCAGUUGGAAACGCUCUCAAUGAUGUUUAACAAAAGGAUAGAAUUACUUAUGGUGGCAGAAUAAUGGCCCCUGAAGAUAUCUAUGCUGUGAUUCCCAAAGCCUGUGACUAUGUUACAUUACAUGGCAAAAGGCCUUUGCAGAUGUGAUUAAGGUUAAGGACCUUGAGAUGGGUUGAUUAUCCUGGAUUAUAGAGUGAACUUGGCUCCAUGCAUUGAUGGAGAAGAAAGACACCCGAGGGCUCCAUUCUGCAGGAUGAGUCUGCAGGGAUCUCCUUGCCAGCUAUGGAAGUCAGUAUGACAGCUUCAGCUACCUACAGUCCACUUGCCAGCAUAAGUCCCCACCUGCUGACCUGCUGCCUGCUAUCUUAACACGAAUUCUUCAUCUGAAUGGAUGAGCUUUUCACAGAGUUCCAAACUAAGGAAUCCAGGAGUGGCCAAUCCAGAGAUUCAUUCCUUAUCUUUGACGAACAUCUGAACUCCUGGCUCAUCCUGUGGAAUUCAGGCCAUACAGGAGAUCAAGGUCAUUUGCUUUGGGUUAAAUGAAUGUUGCCAGGUGGAGGUUGCUAGAGGGAGAGUGCUAUGUGAAAGUGCUGUAUAAACUGCUUGCUUUUCACAAACAGUAGUGAUUCUUUAUCCUGUCCAGCCUGCCACAACUGGACCAUCCUGUAUGUAAGUCCCCUUAAUAAAUCCUGUGUCUCAU